rnacentral:rRNA from 1 species
CCGGAGGAAGUGGGAUGAUGUCAAGUCAGCAUGGCCUUUAUAUCCUGGGCUACACACACGCUACAAUGGCCAACACAAUAGGUUGCUAAGCCGCGAGGUGGCGCCAAAUCCAUAAAGUUGGUCUCAGUUCAGAUUGUAGGCUGCAACCCGCCUGCAUGAAGAUGGAGUUGCUAGUAACCGCAGGUCAGCUAUACUGCGGUGAAUACGUUCCCGGGGCUU